AUUAAUUUACACCAAUAAGCGCCAGGGAAUUACGAGCAAUGCUUAAAACCCAAAGGAUUUGACGGUGUCCCACCCCACUAGAGGAGCCUGUUCUAUAAUCGAUGAUCCCCGAUAUACCCGACCAUUUCUCGCUUAUCAGUCUGUAUACCUCCGUCGAAAGCUUACCAUGUGAACGCUUGCAGUAGGCUUAAUGACCUAACACGUCAAUACGUCAGGUCAAGGUGCAGCUUAAGAAAUGGGAAGUAAUGGGCUACAAUUUCUAAUCUAGAACAAACGAAAGACUAUAUGAAAUUAUAAUCAUGAAGGUGGAUUUAGUAGUAAAAAGAAAAUAGAGUGUUCUUUUUAACCCGGCUCUGGGACGCGUACACACCGCCCGUCACCCUCUUCGAUAGUAUCUCACCCCGUUCCUAACCCACUAUUACAUUUUAGAAGAGGCAAGUCGUAACAUGGUAAGUGUACUGGAAAGUGCACUUGGUUUAUACAAAAUGUAGCUUAACAAAAGCCUCUCGCUUACACCGAGAAAAUGUCCGUUUAACCCGAACCGUUUUGAGCCCAAAAUCUAGCCUACACACAUUCGCAUGACCCCCUUACCCCUAGCCUCUAAACAAAUCAUUUUAACAUUAUAGUACAGGCGAUCGAAAAAUUUCUAAGCGCUUCAGACAAAGUACCGCAAGGGAAAGAUGAAAUAGAAAUGAAAUAAU
rnacentral:rRNA from 1 species